UUUAAAACACCGAUUCCCGUACAGUCACAGAAGUUAAGCAAAGUCGAUCCGGGUCAGUACCCAGAUGGGUGACCUUUUGAGAAUACCAGGUUCUGUAAG